GAUGAACGCUAGCUACAGGCUUAACACAUGCAAGUCAAGGGGUAGCAGGGUAGCAAUACCGCUGACGACCGGCGCACGGGUGAGUAACACGUAUCCAACCUUCCCAUAACUCGGGGAUAGCCUUUCGAAAGAAAGAUUAAUACCCGAUAGUACUUUUUCAUGGCAUCUUGAAAAAGUUAAAGAUUUAUUGGUUAUGGAUGGGGAUGCGUUCCAUUAGAUAGUUGGUGAGGUAACGGCUCACCAAGUCUUCGAUGGAUAGGGGUUCUGAGAGGAAGGUCCCCCACAGUGGUACUGAGACACGGACCAAACUCCUACGGGAGGCAGCAGUGAGGAAUAUUGGUCAAUGGGCGAGAGCCUGAACCAGCCAAGUAGCGUGAAGGAUGAAGGUCCUAUGGAUUGUAAACUUCUUUUAUAGUAGAAUAAAGUGAUCCACGUGUGGAUUUUUGUAUGUAUACUAUGAAUAAGGAUCGGCUAACUCCGUGCCAGCCGCCGCGGUAAUAC
rnacentral:rRNA from 1 species